GCUGUCGGCGGCGCGUUGGUGCCGGUGUAGGUGCCGUUGAAGCCGGCGCUGACCGACGCCCCGGGCGCCACCGCACCGUUCCACGCCUGGCUGACCGCG
rnacentral:tRNA from 1 species